rnacentral:rRNA from 1 species
AGCGAACGCUGGCGGCAGGCUUAACACAUGCGAGUCGAGCGGGCACUUUCGGGUGUCAGCGGCGGACGGGUGUGUAACGCGUGGGAACGUGCCCUCUGGUUCGGAAUAACUCAGGGAAACUUGAGCUAAUACCGGAUACGCCCUUUUGGGGAAAGGCUUGCUGCCGGAGGAUCGGCCCGCGUCUGAUUAGCUAGUUGGUGAGGUAACGGCCCACCAAGGCGACGAUCAGUAGCUGGUCUGAGAGGAUGAUCAGCCACACUGGGACUGAGACACGGCCCAGACUCCUACGGGAGGCAGCAGUGGGGAAUAUUGGACAAUGGGCGAAAGCCUGAUCCAGCCAUGCCGCGUGAGUGAUGAAGGCCUUAGGGUUGUAAAGCUCUUUUAUCCGGGACGAUAAUGACGGUACCGGAGGAAUAAGCCCCGGCUAACUUCGUG